rnacentral:rRNA from 1 species
GAUGAACGCUGGCGGCGUGCCUAAUACAUGCCAGUCGAGCGAACAGACGAGGAGCUUGCUCCUCUGACGUUAGCGGCGGACGGGUGAGUAACACGUGGAUAACCUACCUAUAAGACUGGGAUAACUUCGGGAAACCGGAGCUAAUACCGGAUAAUAUAUUGAACCGCAUGGUUCAAUAGUGAAAGACGGUUUUGCUGUCACUUAUAGAUGGAUCCGCGCCGCAUUAGCUAGUUGGUAAGGUAACGGCUUACCAAGGCAACGAUGCGUAGCCGACCUGAGAGGGUGAUCGGCCACACUGGAACUGAGACACGGUCCAGACUCCUACGGGAGGCAGCAGUAGGGAAUCUUCCGCAAUGGGCGAAAGCCUGACGGAGCAACGCCGCGUGAGUGAUGAAGGUCUUCGGAUCAUAAAACUCUGUUAUUAGGGAAGAACAAAUGUGUAAGUAACUAUGCACGUCUUGACGGUACCUAAUCAGAAAGCCACGGCUAACUACGUG